UGGGGAAUAUUGCACAAUGGGCGAAAGCCUGAUGCAGCAACGCCGCGUGAGGGAUGACGGCCUUCGGGUUGUAAACCUCUUUUAGCAGGGAAGAAGCGAGAGUGACGGUACCUGCAGAAAAAGCGCCGGCUAACUACGUGCCAGCAGCCGCGGUAAUACGUAGGGCGCGAGCGUUGUCCGGAAUUAUUGGGCGUAAAGAGCUCGUAGGCGGUUUGUCGCGUCUGCUGUGAAAUCCCGAGGCUCAACCUCGGGCUUGCAGUGGGUACGGGCAGACUAGAGUGCGGUAGGGGAGACUGGAACUCCUGGUGUAGCGGUGGAAUGCGCAGAUAUCAGGAAGAACACCGAUGGCGAAGGCAGGUCUCUGGGCCGUUACUGACGCUGAGGAGCGAAAAGCAUGGGGAGCAAACAGGAUUAGAUACCCUGGUAGUCCAUGCCGUAAACGUUGGGUGCUAGACGUGGGGCCUUUCCACGGUUUCCGUGUCGUAGCUAACGCAUUAAGCACCCCGCCUGGGGAGUACGGCCGCAAGGCUAAA
rnacentral:rRNA from 1 species